rnacentral:rRNA from 1 species
AUUGAACGCUGGCGGCAUGCUUUACACAUGCAAGUCGAACGGUAACAGGCCGCAAGGUGCUGACGAGUGGCGAACGGGUGAGUAAUGCAUCGGAACGUGCCCAGUCGUGGGGGAUAACGCAGCGAAAGCUGUGCUAAUACCGCAUACGAUCUGUGGAUGAAAGCGGGGGACCGAAAGGCCUCGCGCGAUUGGAGCGGCCGAUGUCAGAUUAGGCAGUUGGUGGGGGAAAGGCUCACCAAGCCAACGAUAUGCAGCUGGUCUGCGAGGACGACCAGCCACACUGGGACUGAGACACGGCCCAGACUCCUACGGGAGGCAGCAGUGGGGAAUUUUGGACAAUGGGCGCAAGCCUGAUCCAGCAAUGCCGCGUGCAGGAAGAAGGCCUUCGGGUUGUAAACUGCUUUUGUACGGAGCGAAAAGGCUCUCUCUAAUACAGGGGGCUCAUGACGGUACCGUAAGAAUAAGCACCGGCUAACUACGUGCCAGCCGCCGCGGUAAAAC